rnacentral:rRNA from 1 species
UACGUAGGUGACAAGCGUUGUCCGGAUUUACUGGGCGUAAAGAGCGCGCAGGCGGUCGUUCAAGUCGAGUGUGAAAGCCCCCGGCUCAACUGGGGAGGGUCAUUCGAUACUGAUCGACUCGAAGGCAGGAGAGGGUAGUGGAAUUCCCGGUGUAGUGGUGAAAUGCGUAGAUAUCGGGAGGAACACCAAUAGCGAAGGCAGCUCGCUGGGACGUUACUGACACUAAGGCGCGAAAGCGUGGGGAGCGAACAGG